AAGCUACGUUUACACGCUGCGAUUUGUCGGGCCGAUUUUGGUAAAUAAUCGAUGCCCCUUCUUCGACAUUUUAGCGAUUUAAACGUUCAAUUGAAGCUGUCCGCUCUCUCGUCUGUUCAUAUUAUAGUUUUCUGCGUGCGAAACGUUUUCAACAACUUUACAACGAAAGAAAAAUCGUUGAAUCGUGAGAAAAAUCUGUGUUAGUGUUACAGAUUUUUCUCCCGAUUUUGUGAAUCGCAAGGUGCUGACGCGAGUACUCACGACAGGUUAUUUACAUACAGCGAGCAAAAUUGGUCCGACAAAUCGCAGCGUGUAAACGUACCUUUAAUGGACCUGCAAGCAGAAAAAUUCUCGUAGAAACUUUUUCGGUCUCAUAAACGAGGUUAAGGCUUCUUAAAAUGUACAUAAAAAGAAUAUUUAAACCCAUUCACUUUCUAUGAAAGUGGUCCAUAAGAAAUC